rnacentral:lncRNA from 1 species
AUGAGUAAAAAUAAAUAUUGGACAAAUGUUUCACACAGGGACAGAGUAAAGAGAAUGAGUAGAACUAAAUAUCGGACAAAUGUUUCACACAGGGACAGAGUAAAGAAAUUGGGUACAAUAAAAUACCAGACAAAUCUUUCACACAGGGACAGAGUAAAGAGAAUGCGUACAAUAAAAUACCGUCAAAAUCUUCAGCAUAGGCAGCGUGUUAUUGCACGUACCAAAUUGAGGAUGCAAUGUAUAAAAGCAACAUUGAAUGAGUUUGAUUUAGUUAUGAAGCAGUUUUUGGCUAAAGUAAAUGAUGGCCCGGAUUUUGUCUGUUGUGUGUGCUUUAGAGGGUUGUUUCGUCAUCAAGUUUUAACUUGUAGAAGGAAGGAUUAUAGUAGAAGAAAAGAAAUCGGUUUAAUUGCAGAUAGAUGUAUUAGUGAAGAGUAUUUGCAUAAAUGUAGUACAGAUUGUGUAUUGCCAUGUCAGUGGUUAGAUACAGCUAGGGGUCAGUUGUGGAUUUGUUUCAGCUGUCACAAUAAAAUUAGUAGAGGUAUUACGCCACCUGAAUCUGCUUUAAAUAAUUUGGCAACGUGUUGUAUUCCACCAGAAUUGGCAUGCUUGAAUACUUUAGAGCAACAUUUAAUUGCGCUGCAUAUUCCAUUCAUGAAGCUACUGGUGUUGCCUAAAGGUGGGCAAAAUGGCGUCCAUGGGCCUGUAACGUGUGUUCCUGCUAAUAUUGUGCAGACGAGCAAUUUGCGGCCGUGGUUGGACAUGGAUGGAUCUUUGCUACCUGUCAAACUGAAGCGCAAGCUUACAUACAAAGGGCAUUAUGAGUACCAGUUUGUUAAUACUAUGCGCAUCAAGCAGGCUUUGCAGGAUUUGAAACAGACUAAUGUAUAUUAUAAGGAUGUAGAUUUUAAUGAAGUGUGGUUAAAUGAGUUUUGUAGGGAACAAGAGAGUGUGGCAGAACAGGAUAGUACAGCAGUAGAUGGUAAUGGUAAUGAUGACAGUAUUGCUGCUGCAGAGGAAGGUGAGCUUCUGCAUGACAGACAACAACAUUGUAUGUUUCAGGACACCUGUCUUAUGCCUGUUGACAUUGGUCAAGAAGCACUUGAUCAAUAUUUUGACUAA